rnacentral:rRNA from 1 species
GCAAGCUGUGAAAGCAUGGCCUAUCGACCCUCUAGGUCUGAACUGUUCAGCUAGAGGUGUCCGAAAAGUUACCACAGGGAGAACUGGCUUGUGGCAGCCAAGC